UACGUAGGGUGCGAGCGUUGUCCGGAAUUAUUGGGCGUAAAGAGCUUGUAGGCGGUUUGUCGCGUCUGCUGUGAAAACUGGAGGCUCAACCUCCAGCCUGCAGUGGGUACGGGCAGACUAGAGUGGCGGUAGGGGAGAUUGGAAUUCCUGGUGUAGCGGUGGAAUGCGCAGAUAUCAGGAGGAACACCGAUGGCGAAGGCAGAUCUCUGGGCCGUAACUGACGCUGAGGAGCGAAAGCAUGGGGAGCGAACAGG
rnacentral:rRNA from 1 species